ACGCUCGACACCUACGGGAGGUAGCAGUGGGGAAUAUUGCACAAUGGGGGAAACCCUGAUGCAGCGACGCCGCGUGGAGGAAGAAGGUCUUCGGAUUGUAAACUCCUGUUGUUGGGGAAAAAGAGGAUGGUACCCAACAAGGAAGUGACGGCUAACUACGUGCCAGCAACCNCGGUAAUCUGAGCGGGCUGGCAAGGC
rnacentral:rRNA from 1 species